UUCGGGGUACUCGAGUGGCGAACGGGUGAGUAACACGUGGGUGAUCUGCCCUGCACUUUGGGAUAAGCCUGGGAAACUGGGUCUAAUACCGAAUAGGACCACGCGGGUNNACUUCAUGGUGUGUGGUGGAAAGCUUUUGCGAAGNGUGUGGGAUGGGCCCGCGGCCUAUCAGCUUGUUGUGUGGGGUAAUGGCCUACCAAGGCGACGACGGGUAGCCGGCCUGAGAGGGUGACCGGCCACACUGGGACUGAGAUACGGCCCAGACUCCUACGGGAGGCAGCAGUGGGGAAUAUUGCACAAUGGGCGCAAGCCUGAUGCAGCGACGCCGCGUGAGGGAUGACGGCCUUCGGGUUGUAAACCUCUUUCAAUAGGGACGAAGCGCAAGUGACGGUACCUAUAGAAGAAGCACCGGCCAACUACGUGCCAGCAGCCGCGGUAAUACGUAGGGUGCGAGCGUUGUCCGGAAUUACUGGGCGUAAAGAGCUCGUAGGUGGUUUGUCGCGUUGUUCGUGAAAACUCACAGCUUAACUGUGGGCGUGCGGGCGAUACGGGCAGACUAGAGUACUGCAGGGGAGACUGGAAUUCCUGGUGUAGCGGUGGAAUGCGCAGAUAUCAGGAGGAACACCGGUGGCGAAGGCGGGUCUCUGGGCAGUAACUGACGCUGAGGAGCGAAAGCGUGGGGAGCGAACAGGAUUAGAUACCCUGGUAGUCCACGCCGUAAACGGUGGGUACUAGGUGUGGGUUCCUUCCUUGGGAUCCGUGCCGUAGCUAACGCAUUAAGUACCCCGCCUGGGGAGUACGGCCGCAAGGCUAAAACUCAAAGGAAUUGACGGGGGCCCGCACAAGCGGCGGAGCAUGUGGAUUAAUUCGAUGCAACGCGAAGAACCUUACCUGGGUUUGACAUGCACAGGACGCCGGCAGAGAUGUCGGUUCCCUUGUGGCCUGUGUGCAGGUGGUGCAUGGCUGUCGUCAGCUCGUGUCGUGAGAUGUUGGGUUAAGUCCCGCAACGAGCGCAACCCUUGUCCUAUGUUGCCAGCGGGUUAUGCCGGGGACUCGUAGGAGACUGCCGGGGUCAACUCGGAGGAAGGUGGGGAUGACGUCAAGUCAUCAUGCCCCUUAUGUCCAGGGCUUCACACAUGCUACAAUGGCCGGUACAAAGGGCUGCGAUGCCGUGAGGUGGAGCGAAUCCUUUCAAAGCCGGUCUCAGUUCGGAUCGGGGUCUGCAACUCGACCCCGUGAAGUCGGAGUCGCUAGUAAUCGCAGAUCAAGCAACGCUGCGGUGAAUACGUUCCCGGGCCUUGUACACACCGCCCGUCACGUCAUGAAAGUCGGUAACACC
rnacentral:rRNA from 1 species